AAAGAUUAAGCCAUGCAUGUAUAAGUAUAAACGCUUUGAGCGUGAAACCGCGAACGGCUCAUUACAACAGCUAUAAUUUACUUGAUCUUGACAAUCUACUUGGAUAACUGUGGUAAUUCUAGAGCUAAUACAUGCACCAAAGCUUCGUCCAGCGAUGGAGGAGCGCAUUUAUUAGAUCAAAACCAAACGGCUUCGGCCGUCCAUUGUUGACUCAGAAUAACUAAGCUGAUCGUACGGUCUUGCACCGACGACGUGUCUUUCAAGUAUCUGCCUUAUCAACUUUCGAUGGUAGUGUAUCUGACUACCAUGGUGAUGACGGGUAACGGAGGAUCAGGGUUCGACUCCGGAGAAGGGGCCUGAGAAAUGGCCACUACGUCUAAGGAUGGCAGCAGGCGCGCAAAUUACCCACUCUCAGAAUUUGGAGGAGGUAGUGACGAGAAAUAACGAGGCUGUUCUCUUCAGAGGCCAGCCAUCGGAAUGGGUGCAAUUUAAAUCACUCAACGAGUAUCUAUGAGAGGGCAAGUCUGGUGCCAGCAGCCGCGGUAAUUCCAGCUCUCAAAAUGCAUAGAAUUAUUGCUGCGGUUAAAAAGCUCGUAGUUGGAUCUGUGCUGGUGUGCCGGUCUCGCCUUCGGGCGUGUACUGGUCCACACACCGGCUUUCCUGCAGUUUUCGGCUGGCUCUCCCUCACGGGUCUGCCUGUUCGGUGCUGCAAGUUUACUUUGAACAAAUCAGAGUGCUAUCAAACGGGCGUCUCGCUCGAAUGUUCUUGCAUGGAAUAAUAGAAGAGGAUUUCGGUUCUAUUUUAUUGGUUUUAUAGACUGAGAUAAUGGUUAACAGAGACAAACGGGGGCAUUCGUAUUGCUACGUGAGAGGUGAAAUUCUUGGACCGUAGCAAGACGAACUACAGCGAAAGCAUUUGCCAAGAAUG
rnacentral:rRNA from 1 species